rnacentral:tRNA from 1 species
GGUGGCUCAGUGGUAGAGUGCUUGCCUUGCAUGCAUGAGACCCUGGGUUCGAUUCCUGAGGACCA